UGCCUGUUUUGUGGACAGAGACACCCGCUCACGUCCUCGUCCCCGUCAUCGGUGCAGCAGCUCUUCUUGCACUUGUUCUGGUUCCAAUUAUUGGAUUCAAAGUUUACAAGAAGACGAGAGGAGCUGAAGGCCGUCCGUCUGCUGACAGCAGCUCUGAGGCCUCACAGCGCCUGAAUCCAGAUGCCACCACAACGUGACCUCUGGUUUUGGAUAAAUGUCUGACUGGAAUUUGAGGAGGAGUCGUCACAUUCUUCUGUUCAUCUGUAAACUGGGAAUAAAUGUUAUUGGUGACUAAUAUUAUUUUAAAAUUUGAUCCCAGUUUUAAAAAUAAUAAAUAAUAAAUGUUAAUUUUCUGUAUGC